rnacentral:rRNA from 1 species
AUUGAACGCUGGCGGCAUGCUUUACACAUGCAAGUCGAACGGCAGCACAGGGAGCUUGCUCCCGGGUGGCGAGUGGCGCACGGGUGAGUAAUACAUCGGAACGUGUCCUGUUGUGGGGGAUAACUGCUCGAAAGGGUGGCUAAUACCGCAUGAGACCUGAGGGUGAGAGCGGGGGAUCGCAAGACCUCGCGCAAUUGGAGCGGCCGAUGCCCGAUUAGCUAGUUGGUGAGGUAAAGGCUCACCAAGGCGACGAUCGGUAGCUGGUCUGAGAGGACGACCAGCCACACUGGGACUGAGACACGGCCCAGACUCCUACGGGAGGCAGCAGUGGGGAAUAUUGCACAAUGGGCGAAAGCCUGAUGCAGCAACGCCGCGUGAGUGAAGAAGUAUCUCGGUAUGUAAAGCUCUAUCAGCAGGGAAGAAAAUGACGGUACCUGACUAAGAAGCCCGGCUAACUACGUGCCAGCA